GACGAACGCUGGCGGCGCGCUUAACACAUGCAAGUCGAACGGAAAGGCCCUGCUUUUGUGGGGUGCUCGAGUGGCGAACGGGUGAGUAACACGUGAGUAACCUGCCCUUGACUUUGGGAUAACUUCAGGAAACUGGGGCUAAUACCGGAUAGGAGCUCCUGCUGCAUGGUGGGGGUUGGAAAGUUUCGGCGGUUGGGGAUGGACUCGCGGCUUAUCAGCUUGUUGGUGGGGUAGUGGCUUACCAAGGCUUUGACGGGUAGCCGGCCUGAGAGGGUGACCGGCCACAUUGGGACUGAGAUACGGCCCAGACUCCUACGGGAGGCAGCAGUGGGGAAUAUUGCACAAUGGGCGGAAGCCUGAUGCAGCAACGCCGCGUGCGGGAUGACGGCCUUCGGGUUGUAAACCGCUUUCGCCUGUGACGAAGCGUGAGUGACGGUAAUGGGUAAAGAAGCACCGGCUAACUACGUGCCAGCAGCCGCGGUGAUACGUAGGGUGCGAGCGUUGUCCGGAUUUAUUGGGCGUAAAGGGCUCGUAGGUGGUUGAUCGCGUCGGAAGUGUAAUCUUGGGGCUUAACCCUGAGCGUGCUUUCGAUACGGGUUGACUUGAGGAAGGUAGGGGAGAAUGGAAUUCCUGGUGGAGCGGUGGAAUGCGCAGAUAUCAGGAGGAACACCAGUGGCGAAGGCGGUUCUCUGGGCCUUUCCUGACGCUGAGGAGCGAAAGCGUGGGGAGCGAACAGGCUUAGAUACCCUGGUAGUCCACGCUGUAAACGGUGGGUACUAGGUGUGGGGUCCAUUCCACGGGUUCCGUGCCGUAGCUAACGCUUUAAGUACCCCGCCUGGGGAGUACGGCCGCAAGGCUAAAACUCAAAGGAAUUGACGGGGCCCCGCACAAGCGGCGGAGCAUGCGGAUUAAUUCGAUGCAACGCGUAGAACCUUACCUGGGUUUGACAUGGAUCGGGAGUGCUCAGAGAUGGGUGUGCCUCUUUUGGGGUCGGUUCACAGGUGGUGCAUGCCUGUCGUCAGCUCGUGUCGUGAGAUGUUGGGUUAAGUCCCGCAACGAGCGCAACCCUUGUUCACUGUUGCCAGCACGUUAUGGUGGGGACUCAGUGGAGACCGCCGGGGUCAACUCGGAGGAAGGUGGGGAUGACGUCAAGUCAUCAUGCCCCUUAUGUCCAGGGCUUCACGCAUGCUACAAUGGCUGGUACAGAGAGUGGCGAGCCUGUGAGGGUGAGCGAAUCUCGGAAAGCCGGUCUCAGUUCGGAUUGGGGUCUGCAACUCGACCUCAUGAAGUCGGAGUCGCUAGUAAUCGCAGAUCAGCAACGCUGCGGUGAAUACGUUCCCGGGGCU
rnacentral:rRNA from 1 species